AGGAUGAACGCUGGCGGUAUGCUUAACACAUGCAAGUCGAACGGUCUCUUCGGAGAUAGUGGCGGACGGGUGAGUAACGCGUGAGAAUCUGCCUUUUGGUUGGGGACAACAGUUGGAAACGACUGCUAAUACCCAAUGUGCCUACGGGUGAAAGCUUAAGUGCCAGAAGAUGAGCUCGCGUCAGAUUAGCUAGUUGGUGGGGUAAAGGCCUACCAAGGCAUCGAUCUGUAGCUGGUCUGAGAGGAUGACCAGCCACACUGGGACUGAGACACGGCCCAGACUCCUACGGGAGGCAGCAGUGGGGAAUUUUCCGCAAUGGGCGAAAGCCUGACGGAGCAAUACCGCGUGAGGGACGAAGGUUCUUGGAUUGUAAACCUCUUUUCUCAGGGAAGAACAAAAUGACGGUACCUGAGGAAUAAGCAUCGGCUAACUCUGUGCCAGCAGCCGCGGUAAUACAGAGGAUGCAAGCGUUAUCCGGAAUUAUUGGGCGUAAAGCGUCCGCAGGUGGCAAUGUAAGUCAGUUGUUAAAGAGCGAGGCUCAACUUCGUAAAGGCAAUUGAAACUGCAUAGCUAGAGUGUGGUAGGGGUAGCGGGAAUUCCUAGUGUAGCGGUGAAACGCGUAGAUAUUAGGAAGAACACCAGCGGCGAAAGCGCGCUACUGGGCCAUAACUGACACUGAGGGACGAAAGCUAGGGGAGCGAAAGGGAUUAGAUACCCCUGUAGUCCUAGCCGUAAACGAUGAACACUAGGUGUUGCGCGUAUCGACCCGUGCAGUGCCGUAGCCAACGCGUUAAGUGUCCG
rnacentral:rRNA from 1 species